AGUGAACGCUGGCGGUAGGCCUAACACAUGCAAGUCGAACGGCAGCACAGUAAGAGCUUGCUCUUACGGGUGGCGAGUGGCGGACGGGUGAGGAAUACAUCGGAAUCUACUUUUUCAUGGGGGAUAACGUAGGGAAACUUACGCUAAUACCGCAUACGACCUACGGGUGAAAGCGGGGGAUCUUCGGACCUUGCGCGAUUGAAUGAGCCGAUGUCGGAUUAGCUAGUUGGCGGGGUAAAGGCCCACCAAGGCGACGAUCCGUAGCUGGUCUGAGAGGAUGAUCAGCCACACUGGAACUGAGACACGGUCCAGACUCCUACGGGAGGCAGCAGUGGGGAAUAUUGGACAAUGGGCGCAAGCCUGAUCCAGCCAUACCGCGUGGGUGAAGAAGGCCUUCGGGUUGUAAAGCCCUUUUGUUGGGAAAGAAAAGCAGCAGGUUAAUACCCCGCUGUUCUGACGGUACCCAAAGAAUAAGCACCGGCUAACUUCGUG
rnacentral:rRNA from 1 species